rnacentral:rRNA from 1 species
AGUUUGAUCCUGGCUCAGGAUGAACGCUGGCGGCGUGCCUAAUACAUGCAAGUCGAACGCUUUGUGGUUCAACUGAUUUGAAGAGCUUGCUCAGAUAUGACGAUGGACAUUGCAAAGAGUGGCGAACGGGUGAGUAACACGUGGGAAACCUACCUCUUAGCAGGGGAUAACAUUUGGAAACAGAUGCUAAUACCGUAUAACAAUAGCAACCGCAUGGUUGCUACUUAAAAGAUGGUUCUGCUAUCACUAAGAGAUGGUCCCGCGGUGCAUUAGUUAGUUGGUGAGGUAAUGGCUCACCAAGACGAUGAUGCAUAGCCGAGUUGAGAGACUGAUCGGCCACAAUGGGACUGAGACACGGCCCAUACUCCUACGGGAGGCAGCAGUAGGGAAUCUUCCACAAUGGGCGAAAGCCUGAUGGAGCAACGCCGCGUGUGUGAUGAAGGGUUUCGGCUCGUAAAACACUGUUGUAAGAGAAGAAUGACAUUGAGAGUAACUGUUCAAUGUGUGACGGUAUCUUACCAGAAAGGAACGGCUAAAUACGUGCCAGCAGCCGCGGUAA